ensembl:lncRNA
AUGUUUUCCGAGAAGACUAAUACAUCAUUUCUGUAUUACGAUUCUGUACAAUAUCUUAUAACUGUGUGUGAACUUACAAUUAUCUCAAAAUUUAAUGAGUUUAAAAAAUCAGAUAUUUGGGGGCUAUAUUUGGUAAUAUAUUUGGUAAUGUAUUUUUGUAAUAUAUAUUUGGUUUGUUGCUAUCAAUUUAGUAUUAACAGGUUUCCCAUAAUGAACCACCCAUCACAUUGUAGAGUUAAAUCUAUGGCAUAUGAAUUUUUCUCUGUACUGAUAGACUUUGUUGAUUCAAUCUUUCAGUAUACUCUAGGAUUUUUACAUCCAUAUGCACAAUUGAAAUUAACCUGUAGUUCUGAUUUUGAAUGUUUUAUUAGCUUUGCAAAAAUAACUGGGAAACUUUCCAUCUUUUUAUAUGCUCUACUUAAGAUUAUAUACCAUGGAACUAUUUUGAAGUUUUUGGAAGAAUUCACCAUAAUGUUAGCUGGACCUACUGUAUUUCAUGGAGGACUAAGAGAACACAAGGACAUAAAUGCCAUGGUAGCCAUGUUAUUGAACUGUCACUGCCUGGUAUUUACUUCACUGAAAGGCAGAAUGCCACAUGACACAAGAUGAUGAUUUCUGUAGGUCUCCUGGGUUUCUACCAAAGCGUUCAGAAGACUGCUUCAUGAGACAACGAGAAGAAGCCUAUUUCAAUGAUUCCCCUAUAUCACUUGGGCAAAGCUGGGUCUGUGUGGGGCAGACCAGAUGGCUUCUCUUUUCUCUGCUCAGUAUGCAGUGAUGUUUGAGCCUGUAAAGGCAACCAAGGUGAACUCGCUCAUUGCACACAACAGGGUGGGUCGUUCACCACAGGGAGCUCUUGAGAGCACUCUGUCCACUCUCAUUUUAAACAUGCAAGCCACGGGAGUCCUGCCACUUUCCUUGCAAGAUUACCCUACAGUCUAAUAGACCUCAGCAUUAAGAAGAUUUUCAAUUGGUAAUUGGUAAUCAGCCUAAAUUUCCCUUCUCUUAAUUUCACCCCAUUAUGCCAAACCCUAUCCCCUGUUCCACCUAGUUCCUCACCUUCAUUAGUGUUUACGCUCUCCAAAUACUAAUAGAUAGCUGGAAAAAAAUGCUUGUGGUCAUCAGUGGCUCUAGAAAAGACAGCUACCACUUUGAAAAAGAAGUCAGUUCCUGCAUGUAUCGUUUUCCUUACACCUUAUCUUUCAUAGUAAGAGACUCGAGUAUUUUUUAACGGGAAAAAUAAGUCCUUAGGUGAAAGGCACAGCAAUCUGUAAUGGCCUUGCAGGUAAUAGAUACAUCCUUAAUGUGGGUGAGUCAUAACAGCAUAACUAGGUUCACCUCUCUUCGCCCUGCACACACUGAUAUAGAACCAACCCUUGAAACAAUUGGAUAAAACUUUUCCCCUUGAAGUAGUUUAUCUAUAUGUUCAUUCUUGUAUUAGGAAUGUUUAUUUAUCUCAUCACUUCUCACUAAUAUUAUAUAGCAUACAUCAUAUUUACUGUAUUAUUUAGAUCAUAGCUGUAAAUGUAAGGUCUUCAGAUAGUUCAUGGAUACUAGGUAUCAUGCAAAACUAUGCAUGGAAUUCAAAAAUUUUUUUGCACCACCAAAAAUAAAUUUACCUUUUAACUCCA